rnacentral:rRNA from 1 species
GGGCCCGCACAAGCAGUGGAUUAUGUGGUUUAAUUCGAAGCAACGCGAAGAACCUUACCAGGUCUUGACAUCCCUUGCAUAGCCUAGAGAUAGGUGAAGCCCUUCGGGGCAAGGAGACAGGUGGUGCAUGGUUGUCGUCAGCUCGUGUCGUGAGAUGUUGGGUUAAGUCCCGCAACGAGCGCAACCCUUACGAUUAGUUGCUACGCAAGAGCACUCUAAUGGGACUGCCGUUGAGAAAACGGAGGAAGGUGGGGAUGACGUCAAAUCAUCAUGCCCCUUAUGACCUGGGCUACACACGUAAUACAAUGGCGAUUUAACAGAGGGCGCAAACCCGCGAGGGGAGCAAAUCCCGAAAAAUCGUCUCAGUUCGGAUUGUAGGCUGAAACCCGCCUGCAUGAAGUCGGAAUUGCUAGUAAUCGCGGAUCAGCAUGCCG